UGUGACGCCUGGCGGCGUGCCUAACACAUGCAAGUCAAGAGAGAAGUUUCGCUUCGGUGAAAUGGAUACUGGCGCACGGGUGAGUAACACGUGGAUUAUCUGCCCUUUACACAGACAUAACUCAGGGAAACUUGAGCUAAUAUCUGAUGAGGCCUCCGGGUCAAAGCUUCGGCGGUAAAGGAUGAGUCUGCGUCUGAUUAGCUAGUUGGUAAGGUAAUGGCUUACCAAGGCGACGAUCAGUAACUGGUCUGAGAGGACGAUCAGUCACACUGGAACUGAGACACGGUCCAGACUCCUACGGGAGGCAGCAGUGAGGAAUUUUGGACAAUGGGGGAAACCCUGAUCCAGCGACGCCGCGUGUGGGAUGAAUGGGUUAUGCCCUGUAAACCACUGUCAGCAGAGAAGAAAAGGCUCCUUUGGAGCCCGGGACUGUAUCUGCAGAGGAAGGACCGGCUAACUACGUGCCAGCAGCCGCGGUAAUACGUAGGGUCCAAGCGUUAUCCGGAAUUACUGGGUAUAAAGGGUGCGUAGGCGGCCUUGUGCGUCGAAGGUUAAAGGCCAUGGCUCAACCAUGGAAAUGCCCU
rnacentral:rRNA from 1 species